UACGAAGGGGGCUAGCGUUGCUCGGAAUUACUGGGCGUAAAGCGCACGUAGGCGGCUUUUUAAGUCGGAGGUGAAAUCCUGGAGCUCAACUCCAGAACUGCCUUCGAUACUGGAGAGCUCGAGUCCGGGAGAGGUGAGUGGAACUGCGAGUGUAGAGGUGAAAUUCGUAGAUAUUCGCAAGAACACCAGUGGCGAAGGCGGCUCACUGGCCCGGUACUGACGCUGAGGUGCGAAAGCGUGGGGAGCAAACAGG
rnacentral:rRNA from 1 species